rnacentral:rRNA from 1 species
UACGUAGGGACCGAGCGUUGUCCGGAUUCAUUGGGCGUAAAGAGCUCGUAGGCGGCUGCUCAAGUCGAAUGUGAAAACUCGAGGCUCAACCUCGAGCCUGCAUUCGAUACUGGGCGGCUAGAGUCUGGUAGGGGGAGUCUGGAAUUCCUGGUGUAGCGGUGGAAUGCGCAGAUAUCAGGAGGAACACCGGUGGCGAAGGCGGGAUCCUGGGCCAGUACUGACGCUGAGGAGCGAAAGCGUGGGGAGCAACAGG